rnacentral:rRNA from 1 species
AGAGUUUGAUCAUGGCUCAAGACGAACGCUGGCGGCGUGCUUUAUACAUGCAAGUCGAACGAUGAAGUUCCUUCGGGAAUGGAUUAGUGGCGCACGGGUGAGGAACACGUGAGAAACCUGCCUUUCAUUCUGGGAUAACACCGGGAAACCGGUGCUAAUACCGGAUACUCCAUCUUGGCGGCAUCGCCGAGCUGGGAAAAAAUUUUGAUGAAAGAUGGUCUCGCGGCCUAUCAGCUAGUUGGUGAGGUAAAGGCUCACCAAGGCGACGACGGGUAGCCGGCCUGAGAGGGCGACCGGCCACACUGGGACUGAGACACGGCCCAGACUCCUACGGGAGGCAGCAGUAGGGAAUAUUGGGCAAUGGGCGAAAGCCUGACCCAGCGACGCCGCGUGAGGGAUGAAGGUCUUCGGAUUGUAAACCUCUUUCAGUAGGGAAGAAGCGAAAGUGACGGUACCUAAAGAAGAAGCACCGGCUAACUAUGUGCCAGCAGCCGCGGUAAUACAUAGGGUGCAAGCGUUGUCCGGAAUUAUUGGGCGUAAAGAGCUCGUAGGUCGUUUGUCGCGUCGAUUGUGAAAAUCUGAGGCUCAACCUCAGACCUGCAGUCGAUACGGGCAAACUAGAGUGUGGUAGGGGAGACUGGAAUUCCUGGUGUA